UGCCAGCCGCCGCGGUAAUACGGAAGGUCCUAUCGUUGUUCGGAAUUACUGUGCGUAAAGCGCAUGUAGGCGGAACAGAAAGUUAGAAGUGAAAUCCCUGGGCUCAACCUAGGAAUUGCUUUUAAAACUUCUGUUCUGGAAUUCAGGAGAGGAAAAUGGAAUUUCCAGUGUAGAGGUGAAAUUCGUAGAUAUUGGAAGGAACACCAGUGGCGAAGGCGAUUUUCUGGACUGAUAUUGAAGCGGAGAUGAGAAAGCAUGGGUCGCAAACGGUAUUAGAUA
rnacentral:rRNA from 1 species